GGAUCUCCCUGGCAAGACGGUGUAUGGUUAUUGAAAGGUCUUCCCAUCCACUUCCACAAAGAUCUGCAGAUGAGUCAACAAAAAGAUACAGGAUGUGAAAGGCCGCUGAUAGAGCUAACUAAAUCAGCAAGGGCACUUUAUUGUGUCCAUCGCCAGAAAGAGAGUGACAUGACCCUGUGAGAAGGAGUGAAAAUGAAGGACAGUGCUAUAGACAUGAAGUACUAAAAUGUGAGCUGCAUUCAUAAACAUCCAUUAUUGGCCUUCAGCGUUGUCCGUCUAACCUCCAAAGUUCUUCUAGGAAGCAAUGGAUGAAGCUACGUACUUUGGAUUCAACCAUCUUGGAGCAGAUCUGUUUCUGAAAUGGAAUGAGCCUAUCCCCCACGGCAAUCACUGUGAGGAAGUUUGGAUCUGGG